UACGGGGGGAGCAAACGUUGUUCGGAAUCACUGGGCGGUAAAGGGCGCGUAGGCGGCCUGAUAAGUAGGGGUGAAAUCCUGCGGCUUAACCGCAGGGCUGCCUUCUAAACUGUCAGGCUAGAGCACAGUAGAGGCAGGUGGAAUUCCGGUGUAGCGGUGGAAUGCGUAGAGAUCGGGAAGAACAUCAGUGGCGAAGGCGGCCUGCUGGGCUG
rnacentral:rRNA from 1 species